rnacentral:piRNA from 2 species
UGAAUGAGUCAUACAGCCUGUACCC